UCCGGGGUGGUGUAAUUGGUAGCACAAGGGACUUUGGAUCCUUUAGUCCUGGUUCGAGUCCAGGCCCCGGAG
rnacentral:tRNA from 1 species